rnacentral:tRNA from 1 species
GGGCCGUUAGCUCAGUGGUAGAGCAACUGGCUUUUAACCAGUUUGUCCGCAGUUCGAUCCUGCGACGGCCUACCA